CUGGUUUCGGGUUUCUGUUUCGUUUUAAGAGUUUUAUGUCAACGGAAAUGUUUGGAGAGAAGACUGAAAAUUGGUUUUGUAUUCUUUUUUUAUUAUUCAGGGUGUUAACGUUGGCACAGCCGAACCAUAACUGUGAAUAGUAAUGGAUCAUAGCAGGAGUGGUCUAUCACUUUCUCCUGCUUCCACGCUGAUUGUGGCACACCUGUUACAUGACAGCUACAAUAAUUGCGUCAUUGCCUUAAACCAUCCAAAACCAUGUAUUACUUUAUGUAUCGGGGUCCAUGUAAAUGCCCGCUUUCAACUGAGGAAGUGGAGUAAGAUGAACCUUCCGUCCACUUUACACACGUUCCUGACAUCCGACCUCGCCCUCAUAUACCCCAUCCAAUGUGUGUUGUAUGUUGAACGCAAGAGUUAGCACUGCCACUUCCUGUUGGUUGGGGGAGAAAAAUGUAGGAAAAGCUUAGGAAAAACAACAAGAAAAACCUUAAGGGCCUAUAGACCCUGCAAAUGGGCUCCAGCAGAGGUUGUAGAAACCCAUUAAAUUCCUAUUUUCCAGCCGCAUGUAGAUGAUGAACCCUACUGCGCGCCCUGUGGUUCCACCAGCUGAGUGAUGAUUGGCUCUUGCUCCGGCGACCCUGGGAUCCCGUUCAGCUGCUUCGCCGUGGAAAUAUGUGUCCUUUCUGGAGGUUUCGACUUCCCUGGCUUUCUAACUUCCUGAUGACUUUGUUCCUCGGGGAGCGAGGAUAUGACACCGCCACGGGUCAGCUGUGAUGGAGUCUGCCAAGGUUGGCCCGUCAGCAGCCUCCACAGUCGUAUGCCACGCCGAUUAUGGUUUUAAAUGGAGCGCACUUCCACUGAUCCCUUCAUAAUCAUAUCUUUCCCGCGCUGAACUGACCAUGACCACUUCCCCGUUGUUUUAAUUAUCACAUCACCGUGCACACACACACACACACACACACACACACACACACACACACACACACACACACACACACACACACACACACACCUGAACUGAACUGAACUGAACUCGACUGAACUCGACUGAACUCGACUGAACUGAACUGAACUCGACUGAACUGAACUGAACUCGACUGAACUGAACUGAACUCGACUGAACUGAACUCGACUGAACUGAACUGAACUCGACUGAACUGAACUGAACUGAACUGAACUGAAACGAAACUUGAGGGUGUCGUUGGUUGAGGAGUCGUAUCCAUUACGCACGCCGUCCUUGGACCUGGAGCGCCCGUUUGCGGUCCAGUCUGCGAUGUCAGGCUUCCAAUGACGUCAGUGCUCAGUAGGCCUAAAUAUUUUGCGUGUAUGAAUACAACUUCAUGCCCAUAUCAAACACAAGCAAGCCAUAGCCCUACAGACUCUAAUCAAUACUGUGGAAGUACUUGAAUACAUAUAUUUAUUCUUUUUUUUUUUUUUUACAAAAAAAUUAAGCAAGUGCAAACCUGUGGAACAAUGUGGUGAAGUGAAAAUGUUUAUUCAUUCAGAUGUGUUGAUCUGGUGCAAUGUGUGAUUGAUUUAUUUAGACACCUGCAAUUUCCGUGCAGGUUUGAAUCAAUUUUAAAACGCUGAUCCUUCCUUGUUGAUUUGUAUCAAAAUAAAUAUAUUCUAC
ensembl:lncRNA